rnacentral:rRNA from 1 species
AUUGAACGCUGGCGGCAGGCCUAACACAUGCAAGUCGAACGAGUGGCGGACGGGUGAGUAAUGUCUGGGAACCUGCCUGAUGGAGGGGGAUAACUACUGGAAACGGUAGCUAAUACCGCAUACCAUCGGAUGUGCCCAGGUGGGAUUAGCUAGUUGGUGGGGUAAAGGCUCACCUAGGCGACGAUCCCUAGCUGGUCUGAGAGGAUGACCAGCCACACUGGAACUGAGACACGGUCCAGACUCCUACGGGAGGCAGCAGUGGGGAAUAUUGCGCAAUGGGCGCAAGCCUGACGCAGCCAUGCCGCGUGUAUGAAGAAGGCUUUCGGGUUGUAAAGUUCUUUCAGCGGGGAGGCGUUACCCGCAGAAGAAGCACCGGCUAACUCCGUGCCAGCAGCCGCGGUAAUAC